GACGAACGCUGGCGGCGUGCUUAACACAUGCAAGUCGAACGAUGACGACCGAGCUUGCUCGGUCUGAUUAGUGGCGAACGGGUGAGUAACACGUGAGCAACCUGCCCUUCACUCUGGGAUAACCUCGGGAAAUCGGGGCUAAUACCGGAUAUGAGCUCCUGUCGCAUGGCGGGUGUUGGAAAGUUUUUCGGUGAAGGAUGGGCUCGCGGCCUAUCAGUUUGUUGGUGAGGUAGUGGCUCACCAAGGCGAUGACGGGUAGCCGGCCUGAGAGGGCGACCGGCCACACUGGGACUGAGACACGGCCCAGACUCCUACGGGAGGCAGCAGUGGGGAAUAUUGCACAAUGGGCGAAAGCCUGAUGCAGCGACGCCGCGUGAGGGAUGACGGCCUUCGGGUUGUAAACCCCUUUCAGCAGGGAAGAAGCGAAAGUGACGGUACCUGCAGAAGAAGCGCCGGCUAACUACGUG
rnacentral:rRNA from 1 species